rnacentral:lncRNA from 1 species
CAUAAUACAGAUCAUAAAAAUGUAAAACUAAGUUACAUCGAUCUUUUACUUAAAACAAAAAGACAAAGAAAUGUUCAACUAAACAUCCAGUUAGUACCAACAAACAUAAAUUUUUUAUCUGGCUCGUUUAAUAAUAACAGUGAAUAAAAGUGGUUGGCGUUGAAUCAUGACAAACUUACAAGAAUCCUUAACUUGCAAGUUAUAUUUUUCGCUAAAUAACUUCCAACCACCACUUAGAAUAGAU